rnacentral:lncRNA from 10 species
UGCCCAUCAAAAGGAAAUGCAUUUUGCUGAAAGUAGCGCAGUUUUCCCAGGGAAAUAACAUUUGAGCCGAGCCUUGAAAGAUGAGUAAAAGUUCGUCAAGCUGAAAAAUUUCAUCGUAAGAUGAGUCGAACACAGGGUCAUUGUGAGCCGUUGGCUGGCCCCCGCAGAAACCUGGCAGCCCCUUUCAGGCUUUGCAGGUGAUAUGGUUCCUUCUCCAUCCAGGAUAACUCCAGUGAAGGAUGGACAGAGGCAAGAUUCUAGCUCCAUUUUGGCUGCAAUGUGUCCUUGUUCUUUUCUCCUUUG